GAUGAACGCUGGCGGCGUGCCUAAUACAUGCAAGUCGAGCGGUAAGGCUCCUUCGGGAGUACACGAGCGGCGGACGGGUGAGUAAUACGUAGGAACGUACCCCAAAGUGAGGAAUAACCAGCCGAAAGGUUGGCUAAUACCGCAUAUGCUCUACGGAGUAAAGCAGUAAUGCGCUUUGGGAACGGCCUGCGUCCGAUUAGCUAGUUGGUAAGGUAAAGGCUUACCAAGGCGACGAUCGGUAGCUGUUCUGAGAGGAUGAUCAGCCACACUGGAACUGAGACACGGUCCAGACUCCUACGGGAGGCAGCAGUAGGGAAUUUUCCACAAUGGGCGAAAGCCUGAUGGAGCAACGCCGCGUGCAGGAUGAAGGCCUUAGGGUUGUAAACUGCUUUUAUCUGUGACGAUUAUGACAGUAGCAUAUGAAUAAGGAUCGGCUAACUCCGUGCCAGCCGCCGCCGUAA
rnacentral:rRNA from 1 species